AGAAUUUCUUAUUUUCACUCUCACAGACUCUUCUUCUUCUUCGCUCAAUUUUGUGGUGAAAGGCGAAAUGCUUCGAUCUUUGUUUCAUAAAUUGGGAGUAACUCUGAAAAGGAAGCUCAUCCAUAGAGAAUCUUCUUCUUCAUCAGCACCACCAGCUAAGUAUUUUCUUUUUACAUUUCAAAAUCAAAAUGUUGUAAACAAGUCUAGGGUUAUUUCUAUUUUCUCUUCCUUCUCUACUAUUAGUGAUGGUAAUCUUAAUUCUUCUGAUUCCAAUUCUUCAUUCGUGGCUUCUUAUCUGAUUAAUUCAUGUGGAUUGUCUGAAAAUGAACCAAUUACUGCUUCCAAAUCACUCAAUUUCAAAACCAAAUCUAAUCCUGAUUCAGUACUAACCUUACUUAGAGCUUAUGGAUUUACUGAAUCCCACAUUUCUAAACUAAUCAAUAAGUAUCCAUUCAUCCUCUCAUUCAAACCUGAUAAAACCCUAAAACCAAAAUUAGAUUUUUUCAUAUCCAAAAGGCUUUGUGGACUUGACCUUGCCAAUUUCAUCUUAAAUGACCCAUUGAUCCUGAGGCAUAGUUUGAACAAAGGAAUGAUUCCUUCAUUUGAUAUCCUUAAGACCAUUGUUCAAUCUGAUGAAAACUUCAUUAAAUUGCUUAGACGAAAUUCUUGGAUUCUUAGUAGAAAACAGGUUAAAAGAUUGAUGGUCAACCUAGAGCUUUUGAGAACUGAAGGUGUCCCGGUCACUAAUAUUUCUAAGUGGUUAAUCCAGCAGCCAGUAGCAUUUACUGGAGAUGUGGAUAGUUUUAAAAAGAUUGUACAAAAGGUUAAGGAAAUGGGUUUUGAUCCUUCGAGAACCACAUUUCUUAAAGCUAUACAUGGAUUGGCGUCAAUGACAGAAGCCAAUUGGAUAAAGAAGAUGGAUGUUUAUAAGAGAUGGGGUUGGUCUGAAGAUCAAAUUCAACUAGCAUUUAGAAAAGAUCCUGGUUGUAUGAUGGCUUCUGAGAAAAAGAUUAUGGCAGUUAUGGAUUUUGUUGUCAAUGAAAUGGGGCAUGAUUCAUCAUCUGUUGCUGAAACCCCACUACUAAUUAGUUGUAGCUUGAAGGGAAGGAUUAUUCCAAGGUGUUCUGUUAUCAAGAUUUUAGUCUCCAAGGGUCUGAUUAAGGAAAUUAUUUCUUUAAGUUCGAUUUUAACAAUGGUAGACAUGAUUUUUCUGGAGAAGUUUGUCAAGAAGAACGCUCAAGAAGUUCCUGAACUGAUGGAGGUAUUCCAAGGUCAGCUGGAUUAUCAAAACCUAAUUCAGAACUGAAGGAUUCGAUAACUUAAAUACAAGGAACGAUGUCCUCUGCAGACCAAAAUGCUGAGGUGCUUUACCAGUUUACUGUUGACACCCUUGCUGCCACAAUUGGCCCUUCAUCUUUGACUAUAAAACUUGUCGAUGGUGUGACUGGUAGCGGUUGGCACUUGACGGGGAAUCGUUGAAAUUAUUGCUGUCAUUUCUUGUCAGUAACCUGAAAAUGCUAGGCAUCCCCCGUGUUUGUGUACUGUGUUUGAUUCCCUGUCGAAGCAACCACUAAAUUAUCAAGUGUGUUCAAUGGAGCUAGAAAAAAUACAGGGAAAGAAACGGAAAAUUGUGCAGUCAGAAGUUUUUGGCUCGAGUUGGAGCUAGUACAGUGGAUUCAUGAGCCGUGGCUGUUAGACAAGCAACCAUGGAUGAUAUACCAGGGAUUCAAGCUUGCAACUUCCUAUGUUUUCCAGAGGAAGACCCACGCGACUCUUAUUACUACAAAGAUCGUAUAGUUUUCUGGCCGAAACUUUUUUAUGUCUACCAAAGUGGUGGUAUUCUUGGAUAUGUUGUUGGUAAGAUGGUAGGAGAACGUCAUGGUUAUAUUUCAUAUUUAGGUGUUCAUCCAGAUAAGCGUAAACAAGGAAUUGCAAGGAAGCUGAUGACUGCUGCUGAGAAAGCUCUGGUACAAGAAUAUGGGUCUGAAUAUGUUUCUCUUCACGUUCGAAGAAGUAGUGUUGCUGCAAUUAAUCUUUUUACUGAAAAAUUAGGAUAUCAAAUCCAGAUAACUGCAGCUGAGUUUUAUGAUAACGAGGAAGAUGCUUAUGUUAUGAGUAGUUGUAUUAUUUGAUAGAUUGACAGUCAGUUCUUCAAGAACCAGACAUUAAUGGAGAAUGCAAUUACUCUCUGGUAA